rnacentral:misc_RNA from 1 species
AACGCAUCUUGCGCCCUUUGGCAUUCCGAAGGGCAUGUCUGUUUGAGUGUCGCGAACCUCUCAAGCCCCGACUCGAAUCGGCCGGCUUGGAUCGUGGUCGCUGGCCGGCGUUUGUCGGCCCGGCCGAAAUGGAUGCGGAGCGCGACCGCGCGAGCGCGACACGAGCGUUGUAGAUUUGACUCGCUCGAGCCGUGCGAGCGCGGGCUCCCCACGCUUUUUCUCUUCGACCUCAAAUCAGGCAGGAGUACCCGCUGAACUUAA